rnacentral:snRNA from 1 species
AUGCUUGCUUCAGCAAUACAUAUGCUAAAAUUAGAAUGAUACAGAGAAGAUUAGCAUGGCCCUUGUGCAAGAAUGACAUGCAAAUUCAUGAAUUGUUCCAUAUUUUU